rnacentral:rRNA from 1 species
UACGUAGGGUGCAAGCGUUAAUCGGAAUUACUGGGCGUAAAGCGUGCGCAGGCGGUUUUGUAAGUCUGUCGUGAAAGCCCCGGGCUUAACCUGGGAAUUGCGAUGGAGACUGCAAGGCUUGAAUCUGGCAGAGGGGGGUAGAAUUCCACGUGUAGCAGUGAAAUGCGUAGAUAUGUGGAGGAAUACCGAUGGCGAAGGCAGCCCCCUGGGAUAACACUGACGCUCAUGCACGAAAGCGUGGGGAGCAAACAGG